CUUUACUCCUCGAGGAUCUCAUGGACACCUCGGGAAGACAGGACAUACAUGCAGGGGAGGCACGGGAAUCCAUUUGGUCCUCGGAAGUCAGGAGGGAGCGGAAGGAGCUGCGAGAUGAGAUGCGGGCAGCUCUGGAGCUCACUGCAGCAACCCUGACCGCCCUCCCUGUGGCCAGCUCCCCAGGCCUGCCUCACUGCCGAGGUCCUCACUGCAGCUGCUCCCCAGGCCUGCCUCACUGCCGAGGUCCUCACUGCAGCUGCUCCCCAGGCCUGCCUCACUGCCCAGGUCCUCACUGCAGCUGCUCCCCAGGCCUGCCUCACUGCCGAGGUCCUCACUGCAGCUGCUCCCCAGGCCUGCCUCACUGCCGAGGUCCUCACUGCAGCUGCUCCCCAGGCCUGCCUCACUGCCGAGGUCCCCACUGCAGCUGCUCCCCAGGCCUGCCUCACUGCCGAGGUCCCCACUGCGGCUGCUCCCCAGGCCUGCCUCACUGCUGAGGUCCUCACUGUAGCUGCUCCCCAGGCCUGCCUCACUGCCGAGGUCCCCACUGCAGAAGGGUGCGCAGGCCUCCGUGUGGACUCCUGGCUGCUUCAUAGCUAUUUGAAUACUGAGUCACCUGUGCCCACAUCACCUUUUAAUGAGGUCAGCAUUACAGAGAGGCCGAGCAGACAGGGGAGGAAGAGGUAGAGCCCGAAGGAGCUGUAGGCUGGCCAUUGGUGAUGAGCCAGGCAGGGCUGCACUGGCCCUGGGGCUCUUCAAGCCCAAUCCGGGAGCUCGUACGGCUGUCCUGCAGUUUCCCUCUGAAAAAAACAACUCCUAAGUCGAAAAUUGAGUCACUCUUGCGCUUAAAACCUUUAAAGUAUUGGCUGCCCCGCACCUGCAGGACAACGUUCACAAGGCCCCCCUGCCCUGUCUCCAGCCCCAGGCUUGUUUCUGACUCCGCCCCAUUCUCACUUGCCAGGUUCUAGCAUUGUCCAGCGGCCUUCAGUGCCUGGCAUAAACCAUGUUGUUUACUGCA